rnacentral:lncRNA from 1 species
GAAGGUGACCCCAAAGGUUACCUUUGGGGGGACGCGCUUAUUUGUGUUCAACGGCCCCCGUGUAGCUCAGUAAGGUAGUUAAGGUUUGUUAGUACACCUUGUGGAAUGUCGUNUACGUUGUAGUUAAACUAUACGCCUCGUUGUCUAUAGGACUACGUUAGGGCUAAGCCCAGAACUACUUUGUAGUUUAAUAAAGUUUAACUAAAUAAACUACUAGAGGGGGGGCCUAACGAUAACUCCGUUAGAACUACACAACUUAACAAAGUUCGUUGGACCAUCCAGCCUAGGACAGAGACUUCAAAACUAUAUAAAACAUAUUAUAUGUUUGUUAACAAGAAUUAAAUAAAAUAUUUUUUUGUUAUAAUAUAAAUAUAUAUUUAUUUAUUUACCUUGAUCAAGACACGGCUAAAACCUUCGUAACAUAGGCGCUUAUAUACCCCAAUACAGUUGAAGUAAUAAGAAAUCUUUGGUUGUUUGUGGAUUUCUUUUAGCCCUUGAGAUAGGUAUUCGCUAUUUUUACGAACAACUUCACCGCGUUAGCGCUGUGAGUCGCGCGUUGGCUAAACGAGGGCGAAGCCCGCGUUAAAUUACAAGUCGUUGAAGCGAAGCUUCUGUUUUGUGCCCAAGCGGACGUCUCAUGAGUAUCCGACUUACGGCAGUAUGGUUUAACAAAGUUUGUUAAGCUACAAAGUACCUCCGACAUGCCAAUAUUAUGAUGAUGCACGUAGCUUAAUACUAAGCCAACAACCUAAUCACAAGAAGCGCAAAGUCUGAAGCCACAAGUACAGUUUACGGCGUCGUGGGACCAAGAGCCUAGCACACCUAAAGGUGACUAGCAAGGCCCUUGGUCGUGACGUAUAUUUAACGUAUGAACGCCAAUGGCAUAAGGUAACUUAACAUGGUUACGUUUGGAGAAGCCAACUAGUUGUGAAGUAAGCGUCUGUGCUGCU